rnacentral:rRNA from 1 species
UGAGGAAUAUUGGUCAAUGGGCGGGAGCCUGAACCAGCCAAGUCGCGUGAAGGAAGAAGGAUCUAUGGUUCGUAAACUUCUUUUGCAGGGGAAUAAAGUGCAGGACGUGUCCUGUUUUGUAUGUACCCUGAGAAUAAGGAUCGGCUAACUCCGUGCCAGCAGCCGCGGUAAUACGGAGGAUCCGAGCGUUAUCCGGAUUUAUUGGGUUUAAAGGGUGCAUAGGUGGUUUGAUAAGUCAGCGGUGAAAGUUUGCAGCUUAACUGUAAAAAUGCCGUUGAAACUGUCGGACUUGAGUGUAAAUGAGGUAGGCGGAAUGCGUGGUGUAGCGGUGAAAUGCAUAGAUAUCACGCAGAACUCCGAUUGCGAAGGCAGCUUACUAAGCUACAACUGACACUGAAGCACGAAAGCGUGGGGAUCAAACA